rnacentral:rRNA from 1 species
CACGUAGGGCGCAAGCGUUGUCCGGAAUUAUUGGGCGUAAAGAGCUCGUAGGCGGUCUGUUGCGUCCGCUGUGAAAACUCGGGGCUUAACCCCGAGCCUGCAGUGGAUACGGGCAGACUAGAGGUAGGUAGGGGAGAAUGGAAUUCCCGGUGUAGCGGUGAAAUGCGCAGAUAUCGGGAGGAACACCAGUAGCGAAGGCGGCUCGCUGGGCCAUUCCUGACGCUGAGACGCGAAAGCUAGGGGAGCGAACAGG